UACAGAGGGGGCAAGCGUUGUUCGGAAUUACUGGGCGUAAAGGGCGUGCAGGCGGUUUGUUAAGUCUAGGGUGAAAGCUCCCGGCUCAACUGGGAGAGGUCCUUGGAUACUGGCAAACUUGAGGGAGGCAGAGGAGAGUGGAAUUCCCGGUGUAGUGGUGAUAUGCGUAGAUAUCGGGAGGAACACCAGUGGCGAAGGCGGCUCUCUGGGCCUUUCCUGACGCUGAGACGCGAAAGCGUGGGGAGCGAACCGG
rnacentral:rRNA from 1 species